GAACUCUAGUGGCCACGUCUUAGAACAUAUACUAGUAUAUGUUCUAAGGGCCACGUACACCAUACUGGAUACGUAAUUUUCGGUGUUAUGUGAUGACAGGCCUCUUGCCUCUUGACGACGUAUGGGUCCUCGCUUGCGGACAUGAAUUUAAUCCAAGAUUUAUAAAGAGAUAUUUUGCGACGCAUUCACAAAUCAAGAGAAUUUUAGUCUACGUAAGGAUUGGUUAAGCGAAGCACUGUUUCUCAAUUCAGAUCAAACAACUGCGUCGUGUUACAUGCAAAGAUUUAAAGUCUUCAUGUAUACAAUUAAUGAGGAACAUAUUUUCGAACGUUGUGGCAGUUCAGUACAGCUGGUAUGGAGCAAAGAAAAAAGGAAAUUUUUUACAACUACAAAUUUGUAAAGUAAUUAUGUGUGUAAUCAGAAAACUACAUCCAAAUACGACAGAUGAAAACAUAUCGGCUCCAAUAAAAAUAUGGCUGGUGCAUGCCAAAGAACGUAUGGGGAGAGAAAAGGAGCAAAAUAGCACAGCAGAGCUGGAAUGAAUGUUGUGUGAAAAUAUAUAUUUUGUUUUUUUGUUCUUGUUAUUACGUUAUGUUAUUGUUAUUAUGUUGUUUUUCAAACGGUUUAUGUAAAGAACUAUAUAGACUGGUCUACAGUUACUGUAGACCUAUUACAACAUGUUAGAGUAUUAUUACGUGCAUGUACGUAUAACAUAUAUAUUUAAUGUUCAUCUAAGAAAUUUAUAUUUUUUAUAUAUUUUAUGCCUUUUUUCAUGUAAAACACAUACUUGUACGCAUUUUAAUAUAUUUUAUGUUGUGUCAGGCAUCUUUUUGCAAUAACAAAACUAUAAUUCUAGAAGUUUAUAAGAAAGUAAUAAUAAAAAUAUUUAUUGUAAACAUAAAUAAAAA